CUGCCACAGCAGCCCUGUGCGGGUGGAGCUCAGCUUCAGGUCUAGCCUUGGGACGGGGAGCAAAUUAGUCUGUCUCUCUCGCUAAAUGUGGUGGACACACCUGUAAUUCCAGAGGCUGUGGCAGGAAGAUCGCAAGUUUGAGCCCAGCCUGGACAACUUAGCUACUUAGCAAGACCCUGUCACCAAAAAGGGGGACAAGGGAUGCUGGGGAUGUAGCUCACCAAGAAGCCCCAGGCUCAAUCCCCAGCAUCACACACACGCACAAACACACACGCGUGCAGAACGAGUUAGGACGCAGGCUAGGGCGGCAGGGCAGCAGCCUGGGUCCCGGGCUCCCACACAGGGCCCCGUGCCUCACGCCACGCUGCUUCCCGUCCUUCCCGGGGGGUUCACGGGCGCCCAACACCUUCCUCUCGCCUGUGUGGCUGCAAACCCCGCAGCUCCGUUUGCACGCGUGCGCACGCUGACGCCCUUCCGGCUGACCCUAAAACCCGACACUCGCGCCAGAUUCUGCGACCCUCGAGGAAACAGAGGAGUGACAGGCACAACAGCGAGACGAUAACCAAGUGUUCCUGCGGAGUUUGCCAGCAGGCGCUGGCACUGGGCCGGGAGCUCCAGCCCUCAGUCUGUUCACCAACCUGCUCCUCUUCCUCCUCCAAGCCGCCCCGGAAGCCAUUUCCUCUGGGAAGUGUUCCCAGAUUUGACUUCGAUGCCUGCUCGCCUCCUGAUGCAUGUGAACAUGAGCGUGCCCCGUCCCUGCUACUCACAUCUGUGUCACUCACCUGAGGCGCUGUAACGCGGCGGUCUCGUUAUCCGAAGGCGGAUUUGCUCGCCGCGUCCUUUAGUUCCUCCAAAAGGAGAAGACUGUCCGUCCACCCCUUGGCUUCAAAUCCUGUGUCCGUAUCCCGCGUCCCUUCAGCUUCAGCUCCUUUGACCAAUCCCGGCUUUGCGGAAUCCCUUUACCUGUGAAGGACAAUUCUUUGAUUCUUUUUUUCUUUCUUUCUUAAAUCCCAACUGCUAGGUAGACACACAAGUCCUUUUUUCUUUCUUGAACUUUCUGUUGACCCUGACCUUUUACCGUCUUAUGAUAGCAUUGUUUAAGAAGGGCCCAGAACACAAGAAUUUGAACAGCACAGCAAAGCCCUUGCUCUCCUGGGCUCCGGGUCAGCAUAUUUAUCUCUGGUUAUUCCCAAUUCUCUGUCUUUUUUUUUGGUAGCAGGGAUCGAACUCAGGUCCUUGUGCUUGCGAGGCAGGCGGCAGAACCACUGAGCUAGAUGCCCAGCCCCUCCAACACUCUGCCUUAGUGCGUCAUCGUCCUGCGGUUGUAAAGAUCACCUGGCAGGAUCUGGUGAGGAGGGGUAGGAGGGUCUCUGCUCCUACACAGAACCGCCAAGACUUCUAAAACUUUAACCUGCCUCCUUCUGCUCCCUACUGGGUAAGUAAGUUAAUAACCGACAUGUUUGUUGUCCUCUGACCGG
rnacentral:lncRNA from 1 species